rnacentral:misc_RNA from 1 species
CAGGCAACGUAUGACCAUUUGCAUGCCCUAUCCACGUGAUUGGUCUAAUUUAUUUUCAGAAAAACUGGGCGAUGGUCAGUCUUGGUACCUUCUUGGACGCGCCUAUAGCCAGAUCAGGAACCAUGCUAUGGCGUACGAAGC